GGAUGCCGAUCAUACCAGCACUAAAGCACCGGAUCCCAUCAGAACUCCGAAGUUAAGCAUGCUUGGGCGAGAGUAGUACUAGGAUGGGUAACCUCCUGGGAAGUCCUCGUGUUGCAUUCC
rnacentral:rRNA from 1 species